rnacentral:tRNA from 1 species
GACUCCGUAGCUCAGUGGAUAGAGCGUUUCCCUGCGGAGGAAAAGGUCGGGCGUUCAAGUCGCCCCGGAGUCGCCA